UCAUAUAAUUCCAAAUUUAUAAGAAAAAUUAUCAUUAAACAAUACUUAAAAAUUACAGGCCUAAAUUUACAUACAACACAACAUUAGAAAAUUUAAAAAACCAAUCAAUUUGUAGCCAGAGAAGACCGUUCUCUUUAACUGAAACUUAUCAUUCAAUACUUGAUGGCCCUUCACCCAUUUCUUGCUUCUUUGAUAAUGGUGGGGUCAGUUUAAAGCUCCAAAAGACUGCUCCUAUUAGCACACCCGCUCACUCUCAUUCUCAACAUCACCUUUUCAAAAGCCUGCCAUUCUUAUCUAACUACAAAAUAAGAACCAAAUCGACUGCUUCAUUGUAGAGUGCACAACUUUUAUGAUUUCGGAUACCAAAGAACCAAUAAAGAUAGUGUGAAAGAGUGGCAAGAUAGAUACCUUUCUUUUCCCUUUAAAAUUCCGAAGUUCCUUUUUAGCCUUCCCGUAAUGACCUGUGCCCAUGGCUAUGGGCGAUGCUGCUUAUUGAGCAUCAGUUUGAUGCAAAGGCGUUUCACGUGGCUAAAGGGAAUGAAGAUGGACUGAGAAUAUUAAAAAGAAGAAGAUGACAAUAAAGAAGCCCUUGGGAUGGAAGCCCUUUGAGUGAAACUUCCUGUCAUUUGCUUGUAUUAUAAUCAUAAUCAUAAUCAGAGUCGGGGAUACUCGUGAUAGUUAUAGAGAACAUCUAGAAAGAAAAAGGAGAGCUAACAUUCACGUUUACCCAUCUAAGAUACAUUUUCAACCUCCAUUUUGAUUGACUACGAGGCUAGACCUUCCCAACUCACCCAACUUUGAAACAAACUUUCCAACUAGAAAAGGAAACAAAACAAAAAAAGCAUUCCUGUUCCUAGUUCCCACCACUUUUCUGUAGUGGGAAAAACACAAAAUAAAGAAAUCCUAUGUUGAGAGUUGAAGGUACCUUGUUGAGAGUACCAACAUGGCUAAGAUAUCGGAUUUUGCACAGAAGCUGUUAGAUGACCUUCGGUUGCAGAAGGAACGGAUGGCUGCCUCUCAGAGCUCAAAGGGUACAAAUCCAAUGGUUGCAGGUGAGCAUUUUCCUGAAACCUACGCAAUAAGCACCCGUAGUGGAACAUGUAUUAAAUAACAAGUUUACAACAUCCUUCAACAAAUCAGUUAAAACCCUGCAAAAAAAAAUCUUGUGGGUCAUGAUUCUUUUUCAAUUUCUUCUAGACAUUAGAAAAACUGGAGGCAUUACUUAUGCACAUUUCAAAGCUAAUUAAUGCUAAUGAGAAAACGAUCAUCCAAAUAUGCAAAUCAAACACAUGCGAUUGAUGAAAUGCAUAAUUUGAGCAUUAACCACUAUUCUUUGUUUUCUUUCCCAUAUGGAAAUACAUAUUGUUAAUUGUAUUCCCUUACCUAACAAAACCAGCCUCGUGAUUAAGCAAUAAUUCUUUGCUCUUGGAGACAUUGAUUGAAGAAGCUAAGAGAGGGAGGAAUCUUUUGCACUUUUUCUUUAAACGGAAUCAAGUUUUGUCUGGUAUAGGUUGUAUUCAGCAUAAUUGCUCCUCUCCUACCCGCUUCCAGAAUCCAGACUAAUAUUUAGAAGACCAUGCUCGAAAAACAUUGCAUGUAAAUAAAACUUCAGAGAUGAGAAAACAGUUUAUUUCACAUGAGAAUAUAAAGACUAGACUCAUGAUAAUGGAGCUUUAGUUGGCUAGCAAAACCCAUCAAUAAGCAACAGAAAUGCAUAAUUUGCUUUGUUCCUUUUGUUGCACUUGAGCAGAUGCAUAUGCUUACUCCAAGACAGCCUAUAAAUCAUCCAGGGAAUCAAAGACACUGAAAACAGUAAGUUUCCAAAGAUCAAGAGUAGUGAUCGGUUCCUGCAUCAUAUUAAUUAUUUCAUUUCGUUAAAAUGUUUGGCUUCAUGCAGACUGGUUUUAGAGUUGAAAGCACACAAAAGAUGGCUAGUGGAGGCAGGAAGACACUGUUGUUCCAAUAGGGUCGGAAGCGUGUAAAUUAUUGUACUAAAAAAUCACACAAAGUUCAAUUCCCAGGAAAGAGAGGUGGAUCACAAGGAUCUCUUAAAUACCAAGUCUUUCCUUAGUCAAAAUAGGACAAAAAGAACAUAAGAGUUUUAACGAGGUUCGGUAAAUUAUACCUACGUCCUCGGGCACUAACACCAGAUGAUAACUUUACUAUCUCCAAAAUAUUAUAAACAAAUAGAAUUUCUUAAGAAUUCUCAAAUGGGAGAAGAGAGAAAACUAAGAGAGAAAGAUUGGUUGGGAUAGUGUAAAUGAGAAAUGGUUAGACCUAUUUAUAGUUGAGGUUCAGGGACUAACUUAUAAAUGGCCUAAAAAAUUAGGGACCAAAAUUGCAAUUAUCCCAUUUAACUUUAAACAACUUGCCUACCAUUUUUUUCUUUCGGUGCCACUUGCACCUCCCAUUUUUUGACUUUUCAACACCCCUUUUAAUUUGUCUUUUCAACAGACACCACUGAGAAGGUAUAGAAUCAAAUUGUUCCUUUUGGUAGAGGCCAGAAGUCAGAACAAAUAGGAAAUCUGUCAAUGGCCCUGGCUUUUGCAAUUGAAAAUGGAGGAAAGCUAAGAGCAGAGUCUUCGGGCAAAAGUUCAAUUUUCAGUUUCUGCAUAGCAUGGGUAGGAAACAGCUGGGUCACAGAAAGAUGGAAAGAAGAAACAGUAGUGUGAUAGUCAUCAACCUUCAAGAUGCCAACUACCUACUCUCUCACAUCUCCAUAUUGAAGAAAUAUCAAGGGGUGUACAAAAGUUGAACCAGAUCCUCAAAGCCUGCUCUAAUGGACUCAACUUUGACAGAUAUUUGAUAGAAAUUGGAAGGGAACUAUUAAAAGGAGCAAGGGAUUUAGAGGAAUCUCUAGGGAUGCUUGUAAAACUGCAGGAGGAUUCAGAGUACAUGAUAAGGCCACAGAGAAAAAGUCGGAUAACAUUGCUAGAGGAGGAUGAAGAUGAUGAGAACACUGUCAAAAUAGUUGAUCAAAUGCAAUUGGGAAGGCCAAGAUUUUCGAAUUAUAAUGACAUUCAAGGAGUUGCAAGGACUGAUCUCAGGCUGAGGCUGGCAGCUCUUACCUACUCUUCAGAUGUUAGUGAUUCCAAACAUAAGAAUGAUGUUCUAGCUUCCUCAAAUUCACAUUCUCACAAGCGAUCAGUUAGCUAUGUUCCAGACACCAAAUCUAACACUGCGUUCUCAGAACAAAGCCCCUCCAGUUCAGUGCACUUCAAACAAGGAAAGUCAAGAAUUUCAAAUGUAAUCGCGAAAGUGAUGGGGCUUGAUGAAAAUCCCAGAAACAUAGAUUCAAAGGUCACCACAAAGGUGGCGUGAAAUCAAAAGGUAGUAGGAGUGGUUACAAAGACACCAGCAAAGGAUACCAAGAAGGCUGAACAAGGAACAAAAGAUUCUGCAGCGCUGGCUCAUCGUCUCCCACCAAUAAAAGAAAAGGCAACAACAGCCAGCAAGACUCCAUUGACUCAGGACAAAGUUACAGCACAAGCUGGAAAAACUUUGACAACUAGAAAUGGCAGCACAAGAGUUGCUGCUCAUGACAAAUUACCACCACAAAAGAACUUCAAAGACAUAAAACCAGUGACGAGCUUGAGAAAAGCCUUGAUCAAGGUAGACAAACAACAAGGUGAAAUUAACCACUUGAACCUUAACUCUGGAAAUAGAAAGGAAAUCCAGGAAAAGGAGAGCGAACAGAAUAGUAUAAAGUACAGGGAAAAGAAGGGCAUUGAAAGAAUUGACAUAAAGAAACCAGUUCUCAUUCUCAAGGAUGGGAUGCAGCACAUGAUACCACAUGUGCAUAAAACAUCAGAAUUUGCACUUACAUUGCAAGAGAAACCAGAAUAUAGCGAAUGCAUACCUCAAAGGGAAAGCAG
rnacentral:lncRNA from 1 species